GACGAACGCUGGCGGCGUGCCUAAUACAUGCAAGUCGAGCGGAUCUUCAUUAGCUUGCUUUUGAAGAUCAGCGGCGGACGGGUGAGUAACACGUGGGCAACCUGCCUGUAAGACUGGGAUAACUUCGGGAAACCGGAGCUAAUACCGGACAAUCCUUUUCCUCUCAUGAGGAAAAGCUGAAAGACGGUUGCGGCUGUCACUUACAGAUGGGCCCGCGGCGCAUUAGCUAGUUGGUGAGGUAACGGCUCACCAAGGGGACGAUGCGUAGCCGACCUGAGAGGGUGCUCGGCCACACUGGGACUGAGACACGGCCCAGACUCCUACGGGAGGCAGCAGUAGGGAAUCUUCCGCAAUGGACGAAAGUCUGACGGAGCAACGCCGCGUGAGCGAUGAAGGCCUUCGGGUCGUAAAGCUCUGUUGUCAGGGAAGAACAAGUACCGGAGUAACUGCCGGUACCUUGACGGUACCUGACCAGAAAGCCACGGCUAACUACGUGCCAGCAGCCGCCGUAA
rnacentral:rRNA from 1 species